rnacentral:rRNA from 1 species
AGAGUUUGAUCCUGGCUCAGAACGAACGCUGGCGGCGUGCUUAACACAUGCAAGUCGCGUGCGCAGUUUCCGUAGCAAUACGGAGAUGGGCGCACGGCGCACGGGUGCGUAACACGUGGGCAAUCUGCCCUUUGAUGGGGAAUAACCCGCCGAAAGGCGGGCUAAUUCCGCAUAAGAUUCUCGAGACUUCGGUCUGGAGAUUGAAAGCAGCAAUGCGUCGAAGGAGGAGCCCGCGCCCGAUUAGCUAGUUGGUGAGGUAACGGCUCACCAAGGCUAUGAUCGGUAGCUGGUCUGAGAGGAUGAUCAGCCACACUGGAACUGAGACACGGUCCAGACUCCUACGGGAGGCAGCAGUGGGGAAUAUUGCGCAAUGGGCGAAAGCCUGACGCAGCGACGCCGCGUGGGGGAUGAAGCUUCUCGGAGUGUAAACCCCUUUCGACCCGGACGAAUGACCCGCAAGGGUUUGACGGUACGGGUAUAAGAAGCCCCGGCUAACUACGUGCCAGCAGCCGCGGUAAUACGUAGGGGGCCAGCGUUGCUCGGAAUUACUGGGCGUAAAGGGUUCGUAGGUGGUGCGGCAAGUUGGGAGUGAAAUCUCUGGGCUUAACCCAGAGGCUGCUUUCAAAACUGCCGCGCUCGAGUGCGAGAGAGGUCAGUGGAAUUGCAGGUGUAGCGGUGAAAUGCGUAGAUAUCUGCAGGAACACCCGUGGCGAAAGCGGCUGACUGGAUCGCAACUGACACUGAGGAACGAAAGCUAGGGGAGCAAACAGGAUUAGAUACCCUGGUAGUCCUAGCCCUAAACCAUCAGAACUUGGGGUGGCCCGCGUAGGCGGGUCGUCCCGUAGCUAACGCGUUAAGUUCUGCGCCUGGGGAGUACGGUCGCAAGACUGAAACUCAAGGAAUUGACGGGGCCCGCACAAGCGGUGGACAUGUGGUCAUUCGACGCACGCGAGACUACCUGGCUGACCGCUACUGACACGUAGAAAAUAUCGUCUUCCCGCAGGAAGUAUUAAGUGCUGCAUGCUGUCCUCCAGCUCUGCUGGAGGGUUGGGUAGUUCCCGCCACGAGGCAACCCUAAUUCGUGAUUGGCCACGAGAGACCUCCCAAGACGUCUACGUAUCCGGAAAAUGUGGGGGUAAUACCUCAGUCCACCGCCUUUAUAGGUUUCG